CUCCCCAGCUUCCCUUUCAGUUCUGCAGCCCUUUCCCUCCACUUCCUUCCUCUUCUCUGCUCACACAGGGAGCCCAGGAGGUCUCUGCCUCAAAGAUGUCACUGCUGCUGCUGCCGCCCCUGCUGUGGGCAGGGGCCCUGGCUAAGGAUUCAAGAUUCUGGCUGAAAGUGCAGGAUUCAGUGACAGUGCAGGAGGGUUUGUGCGUCCUCGUGUCCUGCACUUUCUCCCUCCCACCCUCCUACCUCAGGAAUAACCCAGUUUAUGGUUACUGGUUCGGGAAAGAAGCCACUGUAUCCCUGGACUCUCCAGUGGCCACAAACAACCCAGAUCGAGAAGUACAGGAGGAGACCCAGGGCCGAUUCCGCCUUCUUGGGGAUCCCAGGAAGAACAACUGCUCCCUGAGCAUCAUAGAUGCCAGGAGGAGGGACAAUGGCUCAUACUUCUUUCGGAUAGAGACAGGAAGUACCAAAUACAGUUACAUAUCCACCCAGCUCUCUGUGCAUGUGACAGACUUGGCCCACAGGCCCAAUAUCCUCAUCCCUGGACCCCUAGACCCUGGCCAUUCCAAAAACCUGACUUGCUCUGUGCCCUGGGCCUGUGAGCAGGGAACACCCCCCAUCUUCUCCUGGAUGUCAGCUUCCCCCACCUCCCUGGGCCCCAGGACUACCCACUCCUCCGUGCUCAUCAUCACCCCACGGCCCCAGGACCAUGGCACCAACCUCACCUGUCAGGUGAAGUUCCCCGGAGCUGCUGUGACCACAGAGAGAACCAUCCAGUUCAAUGUCACCUAUGCUCCACAUAACCCAACCACUGGUAUCUGUCUAGGAGAUGGCCCAGAGAAACAAGAGACCAGAGCAGGAGUGGUUCAAGGGGCCAUCGGAGGAGCUGGUGUCACAGCCCUGCUCAUUCUUUGUCUCUGCCUCAUCUUCUUCAUUCCCUCAUUCCAGACUCAUAAUAAUGGCCCUACAGCCUGAGAAAACCAGGCUCAAAGACCCUGGUGUCUUCCAUCAGAGUGAAGAUCCACAGGAGGAAAGCAGCCAGGACAGCAUUGGGCAGGAAUGACACCUACCCUGCCAGAGUGCCAGCCUCCCUGGAACACCAGAGGAAGUCCAAGUUACAUGGCCCCACUGAAACCUACUGUGCCGCCCCUACUGUGGGGAUGGACGAAGAGCUGCAUUAUGCUUCCCUCAGCUUUCAUGGGAUGAAUCCUUCCAAGGACACCUCCACGGAAUACUCAGAGGUCAGGACCCACUGAAGAACCCACAAAAGCAUCGGCCUCAGCUAGAAGAUUCAUAUCCUCUAUGGGUCAGGGACCAAAGGCUAAUUCUUGGAGAUUUAACACCCUACAGGCAAUGGGUUUAUAGACAUUAUGUGAGUUUCCUGCUAUAAUGUCAUCAUCUUAGACUUUGUCACUAGAGAGUGCUGGAAUCAAAUCUGUGCUCCUUCAUUUACAAAGUGUAUGUUAUCACACAAGCUCCUUAACCUUCCAUGUCUCCAUUUCCUUCUCUGUGAAAUAGGUGCAAGAAGUCCUAUCUCAUAGGGAUCCUGUGAGCAUUAAAUAAAAGUACGCAUGAAAAAUGCCAGUCCUGGUGCAGUGAGAGUUUGACGCAUACUGGUUCCUUCCCCCUUGAACAGAAGGCAUUAGUGACCUUUGAUCCCUGAAAUUAUAUCAGCAACAUGUCCAUCGCACUUGCUGGUCAAAACACCACCAUGCAUGUCUUCCCUGACUUGCCCUCCAACAUCAUCUCUCUCCACUCCUGAAUCUUCCCUUUCUAUCCCACCUGUCUCCUGCUCAGAUUUCUCCUUUCUUUAUGUCCUGCUACAAGGAAAAUCACAUAUUAGCAUUUGGGAAAUUUUCUAAAACUCAGAGCUGACCAUAGUCAAAAUACUUCCCUAGAUCCCCAGCCCACAAGAAUGACAUUCUAAUGUGACAUUCUAAGUCAGAGAUGGUCAACCAGUAUUAGCAAAGGGCCAGAUAGUAAACAUGUUCAGUUUU